GAGGGUAUGGCUCAGUGGUAGAGCACGUGCUUAACAUGCACGAGGUCCUGGGUUCAAUCCCCAGCACCUCUG
rnacentral:tRNA from 1 species